CCUACGGGUGGCAGCAGUAGGGAAUUUUGCGCAAUGGGCGAAAGCCUGACGCAGCAACACCGCGUGAAUGUUAAGCCCUUCGGGGUGUAAAGUUCUGUCAAUAGGGACGAAUUUUGACUGUACCUAUAAAGGAAGCACCGGCUAACUCCGUGCCAGCAGCCGCGGUAAUACGUAGGGAGCAAGCGUUGUCCGGAAUUACUGGGUGUAAAGGGAGCGUAGGCGGGAGGAUAAGUUGAAUGUGAAAUCUAUGGGCUCAACCCAUAGCUGCGUUCAAAACUGUUCUUCUUGAGUGAAGUAGAGGCAGGCGGAAUUCCUAGUGUAGCGGUGAAAUGCGUAGAUAUUAGGAGGAACACCAGUGGCGAAGGCGGCCUGCUGGGCUUUUACUGACGCUGAGGCUCGAAAGCGUGGGUAGCAAACAGGAUUAGAUACCCUUGUAGUC
rnacentral:rRNA from 1 species